GAAAAAAAAAAAAAAAAGAAGAAACUAUUGGCUAACUGGAUAAGCCUGAAUGACUAUUUACAGAAAAAACACCCAUAAAAUGUUCAGUGUGAAAUUUCGAAUUUGAGUCUCCAUCAUCUAACGAUGAGAUAAAAAUUAUGAAAAAAAAAGAAUUUACAACCAUUUUUGGAAAAGCAAUGGAACAGAGAAUCAAAGAUGCAAAAUGAUUAAAAUUAGCUUUAUUUUGAUUAUAUUCAUGACUACUGCUAUCACUUUAGGCUGCAUUAGUUUGCUUAUCUUCAUCACUUUCAACUGUAUUAGUAAGCUUAUUUUCACCUUCAACCACAAGUUCUUUGUCAAGUUCAUCCAACCUGGAUAUUAAUCAAGCACAUGCAUCCAUCAGUCACUAGCUCAGUCGAAUGUUUGUCUUGUAGUGUAAGAGGUCAGAGUUCAC
rnacentral:misc_RNA from 1 species